UACGAAGGGGGCUAGCGUUGCUCGGAAUCACUGGGCGUAAAGCGCACGUAGGCGGCUUGGCAAGUCAGGCGUGAAAUUCCUGGGCUCAACCUGGGGGCUGCGCUUGAGACUGGGGCUUGAGGAUGGAAGAGGCUCGUGGAAUUCCCAGUGUAGAGGUGAAAUUCGUAGAUAUUGGGAAGAACACCGGUGGCGAAGGCGGCGAGCUGGUCCAUUACUGACGCUGAGGCGCGACAGCGUGGGGAGCAAACAGG
rnacentral:rRNA from 1 species